CGAGCGGGCAAAUACGGGGCGGGCAAUAUCAUGAUCAUGACAGAUCAACAGACGUCAUAUCGACUUGUCACAACAUACCGAUGCGUGUUAAUAUGUUUAUUUUUUAGUUGAUAAUGUUGAAAACUUGCGAUCAUUCGACUCAUUUUACGACCACGGAUUUAGGCAGCAUUGCAUCGAUAUGUUAAGCUUGACGAUCGUCGCACAAAUUUGGGGAUGGAAGGUUGCUGCUAAAUGUCAUCUUUCUGAAGUAAAAGAGACAUGCAGCGAACCGUAUAAUGAUCCCAGAACACCAUAUUAAAAAACCUUUGCAGCGAAAGAUAAAAUAGAGCUGGCCAAUGCUCGGUGGGCAAUCCCCUCGCGAACACACCGCAACUCGAAGCACCAUGGAAGAGCCACAACGGGUUUCCUCUUCCAUCGUCGGCGGUUGCCUGUGCCGCUAUGGAUUCCAAGAUUAAUUUUUGAGGUUCAUUACUGAGACGGGUGACCAGAUUCAGAUAGGUUCGUCCAUUCUCUUCUGCUCCCAUGGAUACAAAAUUGCACCAGGAAAGCCGUCCGAAUAAACAAUCCAUCUAAGUCUAGCCAUCCGCGA